UUAAUGCAAAACUAGACAACCUUAAAAUACACGAAGUGCAUUUUAUCGAGGCUAUUAUUUAUGUGUUACAGGAAGGUUGGCUGCUGAGGAGUUACUAUGAGGAAGGGCUUGAAGAGUGGUGCUGCUAAUGGUGAGGAGUUCCCCUCAACAGCUUGAGUUAUUGGGAAGGUCACUGGACUCCUCCACUGGAAUCAAGCUUCAUUGAGGAAGCCAGAAAAUCAGUGAGGAAUAAAAAGUUUUCUUGGUGUGGUGGAAUUAUCUUACCAUCCUGGAUCUCUCAAGGCAAAAAGGACGGAGUCUAUGGGAACUCCUGCAGGGCUUCCUUAGGAAUCACAUCAAUGGAAGAGACUGUAGGAAGAAAGAACCUGGAGAAGUUGUGGCAAGUAGAAGGAGAAACGUUAUAUUUUGUAUUAAAAUUGGAAUGAUUUCCAGCACCGCUCUACCUCUGUAGAACUUGAAGCAAUUACAUGUUGAAUCUUACUGAUGUGGGAAGUAGAAGCAGAGCACGACAUAAAACAUCUGAGCUAAUUAGCAAGAGGAAUCUGAGCUAAUUAGCAAGAAGAAGGUGCUGUCAUUCUCUCUCUUCACUACCGUGUGUCUUUUCACUGUUACUCUCCUGUUCUAUUUCCUAGAGAUGCGCUAGUAACAAGUAGUAACUUUAGUUUGCAUUACAUCAUGGAAGAUUCUAAAGCGCAUUAUGGAAAACUCAUUCACUGCUGUUCUUUGCAGUUUAUGGAGCGUGUCAUCUGAGUCGCAGUGUUUUUAAUGAGCAGUGUUGGAUAGGAAGUAAAUGAAAUAUUCUUUUAUAGAAACCUCCAGGGAAAGCUAUAUGGAAGAUUAUAUGUGUUAGAAUUUGGAUCGGAGCUUGGAUUUGCAGAAUUUCAAAGCCAAGAUGAUCUAUAUAGUCUAAUCUUCUGUAUAACACAGGCCAUAGAAUUUCACCCAGUAAUUUCUGCAUAAAGAUUAUAAUUAGUUGCUGAGCUAAGGUAGCUUUUUUAGAAAGACUGUCUUGGAUUAAAGAUUUCAAAUGAUAGAGAACAUACCACAUCCCAAAGUCAGGCAGUUUUUUCCCUUCCCCUCAAAGCAAAACAUAAGUGUGUCUUUUAUGUAUUGAACUGAACUCUUUUGUUGAGGUAGUCAUCUUGAAGACAGCAUCCACAGGCAAUAGCACACCUGCCACACACACAAAAGCAUGUUUUAAGCAUAAAAACUGGUGAAUGGAAGACCAUAAAAUUAAAGCAACAUUCUGUUCUCUGUCUCUGUUCAUACACCUUUGAAAGUUCCUUUGUUCCAUGAGGAACCGGUAGGGUUGUACAGCUCUGCAGCUCUUUUUAAGAAGGUUCUCUAGCAUUAUCUUGGUUUCUGGAGUUGCUCCUCUCAUUCUUCAGUGGGAAUGAAGAGAGGAAAUAUUACUAUACAGCCUAAAAAAAUCUGUUUUUUUUUUUUUAACCACUCCAAAUUUAUGUAUUCAGGUCAAAUUAUCACAGCUCUUUCUUAAAGUUUGUCUUGUUUUACUGAUUCAGUAUCUGCAUUUUAUAAACGAUAUUUUUUGGUUGUUGCUGAAGAACACAAGUUUGUUAGUUUUCUGUGACAGAAGACAAAUGUGUUGUAAUUCAUGCUGCCUGAAAUCGUGCUUUCCUAACUAUAUUUAAAGUAUUUUAUUUCAGAGAGGUGUUCCAAACAAUGAACAAAUUGCAUAUGUUGAGUAUGAUAUCCUUGGGAAAAACAAACUCAACUCAUUUGAACCCAUGAAAAACUAAGCACUUGAGGUUAAGCCAUAAAAUGUGGCAAGACGUUUCCGACCAUGCUAAACCACUGGACAAUUAGGUAUGCAGGCAAUAGGUGUUUGUUUGCUCCCACGGGUACUGAAAGCAUUCUGAAUUCCUCAGGACUUCAAAUAUUAUGUUAUAAAAUGUUAAACCAAUACCUUUAGGACAAAAACAGAAUCCAACACAUGCCACCUAGAUUAUUUAAAGGUUGAAAAAUAAAAAGUAAUAAAAAAAUAAUAAUAAUAAUAAA
rnacentral:lncRNA from 1 species